rnacentral:rRNA from 1 species
CGCUAUCACUCCUACGGGGAGGCAGCAGUAGGGAAUCUUCCACAAUGGGCGCAAGCCUGAUGGAGCAACACCGCGUGAGUGAAGAAAGGGUUUCGGCUCGUAAAGCUCUGUUGUUAAAGAAGAACACGUAUGAGAGUAACUGUUCAUACGUUGACGGUAUUUAACCAGAAAGUCACGGCUAACUACGUGCCAGCAGCCGCGGUAAUACGUAGGUGGCAAGCGUUAUCCGGAUUUAUUGGGCGUAAAGAGAGUGCAGGCGGUUUCUAAGUCUGAUGUGAAAGCCUUCGGCUUAACCGGAGAAGUGCAUCGGAAACUGGAUAACUUGAGUGCAGAAGAGGGUAGUGGAACUCCAUGUGUAGCGGUGGAAUGCGUAGAUAUAUGGAAGAACACCAGUGGCGAAGGCGGCUACCUGGUCUACAACUGACGCUGAGACUCGAAAGCAUGGGUAGCGAACAGGAUUAGAUACCCUGGUAG